AAGGCGUUAGUUUAAUGGUAGAAUACCUGGUUCCAACCCAGGGGGUGUGGGUUCAAUUCCUACACGCUUUGCCA
rnacentral:tRNA from 1 species